rnacentral:rRNA from 1 species
GAGUUUGAUCUUGGCUCAGAUUGAACGCUGGCGGCAUGCCUUACACAUGCAAGUCGAACGGCAGCACGGGAGCUUGCUCCUGGUGGCGAGUGGCGAACGGGUGAGUAAUGCAUCGGAACGUAUCCUGGAGUGGGGGUUAACGUAGCGAAAGUUAUGCUAAUACCGCAUAUUCUGUGAGCAGGAAAGCGGGGGACCUUCGGGCCUCGCGCUCUUGGAGCGGCCGAUGUCGGAUUAGCUAGUUGGUGAGGUAAAGGCUCACCAAGGCGACGAUCCGUAGCAGGUCUGAGAGGAUGAUCUGCCACACUGGAACUGAGACACGGUCCAGACUCCUACGGGAGGCAGCAGUGGGGAAUUUUGGACAAUGGGGGCAACCCUGAUCCAGCCAUGCCGCGUGAGUGAAGAAGGCCUCGGUUGUAAGUAC